GACGAACGCUGGCGGCGUGCUUAACACAUGCAAGUCGAACGGAAAGGCCCUGCUUUUGUGGGGGUCUCGAGUGGCGAACGAAUGAGUAACACGUGAGUAACCUACCCUUGACUUUGGGAUAACUUCAGGAAACUAGGGCUAAUACCGGAUAGGAGCUCCUGCUGCAUGGUGUGGGUUGGAAAGUUUCGGCGGUUGGGGAUGGACUCGCGGCUUAUCAGCUUGUUGGUGGGGUAGUGGAUUACCAAGGCUUUGACGGGUAGCAGGACUGAGAGGGUGACCGGGCACAGUGGGACUGAGAUACGGCAGAGAGUAGUAAGGGAGGCAGCAGUAGGGAAUAUUGCACGAUGGGCGGAAGCCGGAUGAAGCAACAACGCGUGCUGGAUUACAGACUUCGGGUUGUAAACAGCUUACGCCUGUGACGAAGCGUGAGAGACGGUAAUGGAUAAAGAAGCACCGGCUAACUACGUG
rnacentral:rRNA from 1 species